rnacentral:rRNA from 1 species
UACGUAGGACCCAAGCGUUAUCCGGAAUUACUGGGCGUAAAGAGUUGCGUAGGUGGCAAGUUAAGCGGGUAGUGAAAUUGUGUGGCUCAACCAUACACCCAUUACCUGAACUGGCUAGCUAGAGUGCGAUAGAGGUAACUGGAAUUACUAGUGUAGGAGUGAAAUCCGUAGAUAUUAGUAGGAACACCGAUGGCGUAGGCAGGUUACUGGAUCGCAACUGACACUGAGGCACGAAAGCGUGGGGAGCAAACGGG